AUACGUCCUUUCAGUUAUCUGAAGAUGGUGACCUAGAGAUGCCACCCUCAGGGUUCUGACGUUUUCUUGGCCAUUAUUUGAACUUGGGACAUGUCUUUCAUCUGACUUCCCAUGAUCCUUCACAUUCUCUUUGGUCAAAGACAGUUGAUAUAAGGAUUCUAACAAGUCUGCCUCCUGCUGUUCUUCAGUCCCCUCUAUCCUCUUGUCUCUGAAGACUGCUAACAUUUUCACCUGAUGCCUGUCGCCAUCAUGGCCACACUUUCAAGUUAACAUAGGUGGACUUUGGCUCCUCUGUGUAGCAUAAUCUUCAUGUGUGAGAGAGGUUCUGGUUCACCUUGUCCUAUUUUGCAGCUCCACCUGCCACUUGUGAUGCUUCUUCUGGCUCUGGAAGACUUCUUUUUGCCUGCAUAGCAAACUUCACCCAGGUUGGGCAUCUGUCUAUGAGAAGCCAUCAGAGAAAUGAACCAGGGCCCUUCUUGGUCAACACCAUGUCUCCACUUCUACACUGCCUGGUUCUGUACCCAUAAUAGUGCCCCAAUCUAGGGUGUGAACAAGCUCCUAGCCUUGAUGCACAGGCAGAGAGGAAAAUGCCAGCCUUCCACAGCUCCAAAGAGGGCCAGAGCAACAAAUGAAACACUCAUCAUGGGUGUGAUUCCUUUCUCGCUCUUAGCUAGAAGUGAAGCGUGAGGUCCGUCCAUCAUGCCCACCUCAUGUACUGACUCCAGGCAUGUAUUCCACUUCUGAACACUGAUGGGCAGCCCCAGGUGUAGCAAUAGGAGGCCUUCCUAUCUACCAUCAAGAAGGAUAGCCAACAAGCAACCUCUGGAUCUCAGCUUCAUCAGUAGUCACUUCAGCUGCAGAGAGGCGCUAUAUCCAAAGUCACAGCAUUCUGAAGACCAUAUGGAUCUAGAAACAGAGAAAAACAUUAAGAUGCCAACAGUCCAGUCCACUCUCAAACACUAAUGAAUAUUUAGUGCAGGGCUUCUGCUGGUCCACUAGGGUUCUAUGGAUAUUUAUUAUAAUCGAACCUUCUCUUUAUCUCUGCUCUCAUGCCUUCCCCUUCCGUUCAUACAUGACAAUCCCCAAUAAACAUCAUAACACCAAAA
rnacentral:lncRNA from 1 species